rnacentral:lncRNA from 1 species
GGCAGGACCAGCCCGUCCUGUCGCCACGACCCUCCGAGCCCUCCAUGGAGCCCGGCACGUGGCGGGUGAACGAAUGAACGAACGGGGCCCAGCCAGGUGGUGGGUGAGCCGUGCCUUCUGCGUGUUGUAUGCCACCACUGCAAAACAGAACCCAGAGCCUCUGGGGAAACCUGGGAAUGUCACGUGUUAGCGGUGGCACGGUGUUCCGAGUCCUCGGGCCAGAGCACCGCGGGGCAGACUGUGGCCCGGCCCGGUGGUAAAUGCCAAGGAGCGACAAGGCCCCCCCACCUCCCUCACAGCACACACCCACGGCUACUCCGUGCCUGUCCACUCUCAUCUGGGGUAGCCAGCUGGGUGAGAAAGAACAGAAGGGGGCUCCCCGUGGCCCGAGGGCAGCUCUUGUGUGCUGGGCAAGCCCGGGGGCGUCUGUCCAGUAGUUCGCUCGCCCCUGUGGCCCCACGCCAGAGAAUCAGGGGUGCUACUGUGUGUCCCUCCUUGAGGAGCUCACCUUUCUGUCCCCCAAGGCUCCCGACAUGCUCCCCACACCACCCUGUGCCCAGCGUCCCCCUCAGGCAGGGCCCCAGCCCCUCAGACGGCAGGGGUGUCCAGCACCUGACAGCUCGCAACAUCGCCCUCCCGCUGCCCUACCCCUCGGUCCAGUCACAUCCCUCACACCCACCUGGCCCACUGCCACCCCUGCAGCCCUCAAAGCCCCUCCAUCAAACAGCAGAGAAAUCCCCUGAAGAUGCAAAUCUGAUGACUUGCCUCUCUGCUUCUGCCCGUAGAGUUUCCCAGAGCUCUCGGGAUAAAAGCCAAGUCCUCCCUCGUGCACCUGUGGCCCCUGGGCCACGCUGUACUCCCGGAGCCACCUUCCCACCCCACCUGGCCACCCCGUCCUCCCCUCCGUGGACUGUCACGUCCGCAGGGAAGCCAUUCACAGGUUAAGGCAGGGCCUCUGGUGUCCACUCCUGUCCUGCCUGGCACCGUGUGGGUGGGAACAACACAGUGUGUGCGGAGCCCGGGGGCCCUCCCACCCGACGCUCCCUAAGCAGCAGCUCCAGAGAGUGGGCUCCUGUCUUCCUUGGGCCUGGAGCAGAGGGGCGU